rnacentral:rRNA from 1 species
GACGAACGCUGGCGGCGUGCUUAACACAUGCAAGUCGAACGGAAAGGCCUCUUUCGGGGGGUACUCGAGUGGCGAACGGGUGAGUAACACGGGAGUAACCUGCCCUUGACUUUGGGUUAACUUCAGGAAACUGGGGCUAAUACCGGAAAGGAGCUCCUGCUGCAUGGUGGGGGUUGGAAAGUUUCGGCGGUUGGGGAUGGACUCGCGGCUUAUCAGCUGGUUGGUGGGGUAGUGGCUUACCAAGGCUUUGACGGGUAGCCGGCCUGAGAGGGUGACCGGCCACAUUGGGACUGAGAUACGGCCCAGACUCCUACGGGAGGCAGCAGUGGGGAAUAUUGCACAAUGGGUGGAAGCCUGAUGCAGCAACGCCGUGUGCGGGAUGACGGCCUUCGGGUUGUAAACCGCUUUCGCUCAUGACGAAGCUUUGUGUGACGGUAGUGGGUAAAGAAGCACCGGCUAACUACGUG